AGCUCAAAUUUGAAAUCUGGCUUCGGCCCGAGUUGUAAUUUGCAGAGGAUGCUUUUGGUGCGGUGCCUUCCGAGUUCCCUGGAACGGGACGCCACAGAGGGUGAGAGCCCCGUAUGGUCGGACACCAAUCCUGUGUAAAGCUCCUUCGACGAGUCGAGUAGUUUGGGAAUGCUGCUCUAAAUGGGAGGUAAAUCUCUUCUAAAGCUAAAUACCGGCCAGAGACCGAUAGCGCACAAGUAGAGUGAUCGAAAGAUGAAAAGCACCUUGAAAAGGGGGUUAAACAGUACGUGAAAUUGUUGAAAGGGAAGCACUUGUGACCAGACUUGGGCCGGGCGGCUCAUCAGGGGUUCUCCCCUGUGCAUUCCGCCCGGUACAGGCCAGCAUCGGUUCUUACCGGGGGAUAAGAACGGCAGGAACGUGGCUCCCUCUCGGGGGAGUGUUAUAGCCUGCCGUACGAUACCCUGGCGGGGACCGAGGUUCGCGCUUCCGCAAGGAUGCUGGCGUAAUGGUUACUAGUGACCCGUCUUGAAACACGGACCAAGGAGUCGUCCAUUAGAGCGAGCGUUUGGGUGUAAAACCCGCACGCGUAAUGAAAGUGAAAUUAGGUGAGAGCUUCGGCGCAUCAUCGACCGAUCCUGAUGUUCUCGGAUGGAUUUGAGUAAGAGUUUUAACGGACGGACCCGAAAGACAGUGAACUAUGCUUGUAUAGGGUGAAGCCAGAGGAAACUCUGG
rnacentral:rRNA from 1 species